GAGUUUGAUCCUGGCUCAGGGCGAACGCUGGCGGCACGCCUCAUACAUGCAAGUCGAGCGAUCGGAGGCUGGGUGCUUGCACCUGGCCUUACGGAGCGGCGAACGGGUGAGUAACACGUGGGCAAUCUGCCUCGAGGACGGGGAUAACGGCGGGAAACUGCCGCUAAUACCCGAUAUCCCCACUGGAUCGCAUGGUCCGGUGGGUAAAUGGUUCUUCCGCCUCGAGAGGAGCCCGCGGCCUAUCAGCUUGUUGGUGGGGUAACGGCCUACCAAGGCGAUGACGGGUAGCCGGCCUGAGAGGGUGUUCGGCCACACCGGGACUGAGACACGGCCCGGACUCCUACGGGAGGCAGCAGUAGGGAAUCUUGCGCAAUGGCCGAAAGGCUGACGCAGCGACGCCGCGUGGGGAUGACGCAUUUCGGUGUGUAAACCCCUGUUGCCCGGGACGAACACCUCCUUUUGGGGAGGCUGACGGUACCGGGUGAGGAA
rnacentral:rRNA from 1 species